UCCUGCAUCCGAAAGUGACCGUGGCUGCCUGUGCCCUGGUCACUGAUAGUGCAGGGAGAGGAGUCGCUGAAAGCGUUUCCCCGUGUUUGGAGGGCCCAUCCUGUCCUUUGCAAACUCUAGAGCUUUCCUACA